rnacentral:rRNA from 1 species
CGCAAGCCUGAUGCAGCCAUGCCGCGUGUGUGAAGAAGGCUCUAGGGUUGUAAAGCACUUUCAGUAGGGAGGAAAAGCUUAAAACUAAUAAUUUUAAGCCUUGACGUUACCUACAGAAGAAGCACCGGCAAACUCCGUGCUAGCAGCCGCGGUAAUACGGAGGGUGCAAGCGUUAAUCGGAAUUACUGGGCGUAAAGCGCGCGUAGGUGGUUUUAUGAGCUAGCUGUGAAAGCCCCGGGCUCAACCUGGGAACUGCAGUUAGAACUGUUUGACUAGAGUAUGAUAGAGGGUGGCGGAAUUUCC